CGUACUGGCCGGGGAGACACAGGGCUGUGCAUAUAGCUGGGGUGAUGGGUUACUCAAUAUCUCUCCCACCCUCCUCCAGGAGGAGGACCCCACUGGAAAGGACGCUUGGGGAGGAGAGACAUUUAUUUAGGAUCCUGUGUCCCAGGCACUGAAGAACAUCAGCACAUUACAACACAGAUUUUAAUAUUUUUGCAUAUGUGUGUGCAUCAAAGGGCCGCUGGAGCACACAGAAGCCUCUCUCUUCCUUCAGAAGAGGAGAGCACAGAGAGAGCGGCCUAUGAGGCAGCCUUGGUCUGCAGCUCCUUUCAUGAGGAUGAAUCACAGGCCUCAGGCUAAGCAGGCAGGUGCUGUGAAUUCGGCUGACAGGUCAAGCUCAGGGCGACUCCUGCUGAGCCUCCUCUGCUCAGCUGAGGCUCACCACUCAGGGCUUGUCAAGCCGUAUGUGGGUCAGAAGAAAGCAUGUGGGAGCUGGUUCUCUCCUACUGUGGAGCUCCCGAGGACGAGUCAGGCCGUCAGACCAGGCAGGUGUGCAGCUGAGACAAGCUGGGUACUCAGGAACUCCAGACAGCAACCACAAUAUCCUGACAUGGGUUAAUAAUUUAUUGCCUCCCACAGUGGAAAAGUAAAUAAGACUGGAUUCUAGGCCUAUUUGGGUCCGCUCUGGCCCCUGGGUCAUUUACCCAUGUGUGGGUGAGCAUACGUGCAGCCCUGUGCGCCCCGCUCUGGGCAAUAAUACUGUCCUCAGGAGCAGAAUAUCUGAUGAUAGUCAAUGGACAAGAAGGCUUCCCAGGGGCGCCACUAGGCUGGUGAGCGGCCAGGGAUCCUGAAGAAAGCACAGUGGGAGCACACACCGGCAGAGAGGCCUCGAGCUGCAGGGAGGCCUGUGGGGGUGAGGCAGCCGUGCCAGGGCUGCCAGCCAGCAAGAAGCCACGCCACUGUGGAGACAGUUGUCAAGCCGUCCAACUGAAACUCGACCCUAAGCAAACGGAGGCCUUUUCUAGCAGCCAUGUUUGUAAAGGUCAAAAGGCACAGGAACUCUUCGAAAUCCAUCCCACGGCUGGCACGGCUGUCCAGCUCCAUUUGCCACAGCUGCAAGUCAACUGCUGAGUCACGUGGGUUUGAGGCCGCCACGUCUGGCUGCACAGCCCGUAUGUGGGCCGACGUCACCAACAGCAGCCUCUGCCCCAGCUCUGGGCCCAGAAGAGAGAUGAGGCCAAUGGACAGGGAAGGGGCUGAAGGUCGACCAGGGCCAGAGCCACCACCUCACCCGAGGGCCCGCAGACUGGGCAGCCAGGACUUCCAACCAGGGCAGGGCAGGGGCAGAGCCCGAGGCCCCCUUCCCCGUUGCUCAGGGCGUUGGUGUGAAUAGUGUAACUGAGAAACAGAGCCCGAGGAACAUUGGCUAAACUCUGCCAAGUGCACGGACACCAGAUCACAAGGCUGACCUAGAAAAGAGCGGUUGUACCUGCGGGGAGGAGGGCAGGCGAGGGCACCCCAGGUCAGCAGGCGCCUCCCCCUGCCAGAGGCGCGCAGGUGGCCUAAUGUGGAAAUGUUUGAAUGUGGGGCAGCGAGGCGCUGGGCUGCGGGAGCCAGCCAGGGUGACAGGAACCAGUCACACUGGGGCGGGCGGUGGGGAGCGCCUGCCAAGACCCCAACAACAUCUUUCCUAAUAAGUCUGGCAGGCUCCUGGCCCAGCCCCUCCACCCCAGCCUUCUCCAAGGAGGAAGGCAAGGAGGCCAAACAGAGCAGGAAUUUGGCCCCGGGCCUGCUUUUCCCUUAGCCUGGGCUCGCAGCACCUCGGCAGAGCGGGGGAGGGGGAGCCACAGCUCGGCUCGGCUGGGCUCUGCUGGCUGCUCCAUCUUUCAUCCCUGCUCAGGCUCGGGCCAGGCAGGCCCCGUGGAGCACCCCUCCUCCCCCUCCUCCUGCUCCCUGGACAGAAGCCGCCACCUCAUUCUGAAGGAGGUCACCUCCCCACAGUGGGAGGUUGGAGUCCUGUGUGGAGCCACCUAGCCGGCUGUGCAGGAUGCCAGCUGCUGGCUCGGAAGAGGGUUCCCAAGUCGGACGUCCUGGACCCACGGAGAGGACGGGCACCGUGACAACACAUGUGUGUUUGGGUCGGGACACUUUGAACUCUGACUCCCAGAAAGAACAGCUUGUGCAGCCACCCCCGGUCUCCCAGCAACCAAGAAUGUGCCGGAGAUUAGGCCCGGCUUGCAGAACAUUUUUUAAGGAGGCUCAGCCCAGUCCUUUUAUAGGGUCCUGGAGCCACAGUGGCUGGGUCACCGAGCACGGCAGUGUCCCCCGCUGUCCGGCACCCCGUGGCCUCUGCUGGCUCACCAGGCUCUGAGGCUGGCCUUCCCAAGUCUUCAGACCCGGGGGCUGGUGAAGACCUCUGGCCGAGACCUCAGGGGGAGGCGGCCAGGAGAGUUUGCCCGAGGCCUGUAGAUGAUUGAUCUGCUUUUGUUAGCUGGGUUAACGUUCACGCUCAGCACCCUGAUAACGGAGGGUGGGAGAGAAAACGGCGCCGUUAACCAUUAAUCCUGGGAAACACCGUAAAAACUCGGGAGGAAAACAGCGGAUCUGGGAGAGGAGUCAGCUAGAGGAGUCAGCUAGAGGGGUCAGCUAGAGGGGUCAGGUAGAGGGUGGACAGGAGCUGGACAGGAGAACUUCAAGUUCAUGCAUGCUUAGAGCUGGAGAUGUGCACGUGUAUUGGGGUAUGUGUGAGCACACAUGUGUAUGCGUGUAUGCUGUUGAUGUCAGUGUCUGCUUGUCUUUCUUUUUUGUAGCUUCAUUGCUCUGUGUAAAUACACUGGAAAAACAACACUGAAGCGUGGCGCAUUGUAAGAAAGGCUGAUGCUCACGGCCUUUUCGUUUUAGCCUUCCACAGCUCAGACCAGGCCUCGCUCCCUGUGGUGGUAUUCUCUGGUUCCUUUGGAGAGCAGGGGAACCAGGAUGGGGGAGGUCAGUGCUGGACGAGGCCACCAGCAGCCCCUCAGCUGCGCACAGUUGCCAGUCCUC